rnacentral:rRNA from 1 species
GACGAACGCUGGCGGCGUGCUUAACACAUGCAAGUCGAGCGGUAAGGCCCUUUCGGGGGUACACGAGCGGCGAACGGGUGAGUAACACGUGGGUGACCUGCCCUCAGCUCUGGGAUAAGCCUGGGAAACCGGGUCUAAUACUGGAUAUGACUCCAUGACGCAUGUUGUGGGGUGGAAAGCCUUGUGCGGCUGAGGAUGGGCCCGCGGCCUAUCAGCUUGUUGGUGGGGUGANGGCCUACCAAGGCGACGACGGGUAGCCGGCCUGAGAGGGCGACCGGCCACACUGGGACUGAGACACGGCCCAGACUCCUACGGGAGGCAGCAGUGGGGAAUCUUGCGCAAUAGGGCGAAAGCCUGACGCAGCGACGCCGCGUGAGGGAUGACGGCCUCGGUU